GACGAACGCUGGCGGCGUGCCUAAUACAUGCAAGUCGAACGCUGACGGAGGAGCUUGCUUCUCUGGAUGAGUUGCGAACGGGUGAGUAACGCGUAGGUAACCUGCCUGGUAGCGGGGGAUAACUAUUGGAAACGAUAGCUAAUACCGCAUAAGAGUAGAUGUUGCAUGACAUUUGCUUAAAAGGUGCAAUUGCAUCACUACCAGAUGGACCUGGGUUGUAUUGGCUAGUUGGUGGGGUAACGGCCCACCAAGGCGCGGAUCAGUAGCCGGCCGGAGAGGGGGACGGGCAACCUGGGAAUGGGGCCACGGCCAGGACUCCUCGGGGAGGCACAAGAGGGGAUUAUUGGAAAUGGAGGGAAAGCUGGACGAAGAAAGCCGGGGUGGUGGAGGAAGGCUUCGGGUCGGAAAGCUCCGUUUGAAGGGAAGGACGAGCGUGAGGGUAAAAAGCUCACGCUGUGACGGUACCUUACCAGAAAGCAACGGCUAACUACGUG
rnacentral:rRNA from 1 species